UAGGUGCUUGACACGGCAGCUGACCGCCUGGCGUCGUUGUCCGCAUUGAUGAUGGCUCGCUCUUAUCUGUCUUCGCUCAUAGAUUGCGAUAGAUUUGUACGGAAUUGCCGUGGUUUUGUUACACCAACGUAAGCUUUUGUCUUCUUGAAAAGUGUCGAUAAAUCAACCGAUACGAAGCCCGCUCGUUAGCGGAAAAGAGCGAACAAUGUGAUAUGGGAUCAACAUCGGCUGGGACCGGAGCCGCAAAUAGCCGAACUAAAUUAAUAUAAAUACAAUGUGGUAAGGAAAAGAAUGAGAAUCGAGAUGAGCUCUUCCGUCGAAUUACGUCAGCGUAGACAACCGAGGAUAGUGGAGGAUCCUCACAAGCUUGCGGCGAUGAUGAAUAAAUCUCAAAGACUUGUUCUGGGACUUUUAGUUCUAUUGCUAGUCGAUAUAAUUUGGGUUUCCAGUUCUGAGCUCACUAAAUAUAUUUACAGGGAUGAGACAUUCGAAAAGCCAUUUUUUAGUACAUAUGUAAGAACAUCUAUGUUUACGCUUUACUUGCUUGGCUUGUGCUUUUGGCCACCUUGGCGGGAACAAUGUAAUAAACCUGCGACAUAUAUGUUUAUAGAUCCUAAUGUCGAAGAUGAUAACUUUUAUUCGGAGACUAAUACGAGUCUAAGUGAUCCAACGUUUGUUCCCAUAAAAACUCCGGAUCAUUGCGAUCGUUCAUCAGGUACGGAAAGUGAUGAUUCGUCCAUCCGUUCUGUAAGAUUCAGCAAAUUGGCGGAAGUACGUCAUAUGUCAGAAAGUGAUGCCACUGAGGCUCUAUUAGCACGACUUAGUUAUCAAGCUAGUGUCAGAGCUGGAGAACAUGCAAGACGACAAGCUAACAAACUCUCUAUCCAAAAAGUGGCUAAAAUAGCUCUUAUGUUCUGCUUAUUUUGGUUUAUGGCAAAUUAUAUAUAUCAAAUAUCAUUGGAGCAAACCCAAGUCAGAAUUGUUACUGUAUUGUCUUCGACGUCGAGUUUAUUUACUUUAUUUCUCGCUGCCUCUUUCCCUAGUAAUGGAGGGGAUAAAUUUACAUUAUCGAAAUUAGCUGCUGUGAUAGUUAGUAUCUUUGGUUUGGUAUUAGUUGGGAUUUCGGAUUUAACUAUAGAAAAUAAUAAUAUGUCAACGGGCAUAAUAUUAGCUCUAGUCAGUGCUUUUUUUUAUGCUGCAUAUAUUGUAUUUUUAAAAAGGAAAGUAGAUCACGAAGACAAGAUGGAUAUACCGAUGUUUUUUGGCUUUGUGGGAGUAUUCAAUUUAACACUUCUGUGGCCUUUAUUCUUUAUUCUUCAUUAUGGUCAUUGGGAAGAUUUUGAAUGGCCCAAUAGUCAUCAAUGGACAUUUUUAAUUAUAAAUGGUUUAAUUGGUACUGUUCUAAGCGAAGUUCUUUGGCUAUGGGGUUGUUUUCUGACAUCAUCUCUCGUAGCAACAAUGGCUGAAGUAUUCCAAUGCUAUUAGCAUUUUUGACGGCAUCUCUUUUAUCUUAUUAUGACAAUUGGGAUCCUGUUAUGGAUUUGAUAAAAAGAUUUUUUAUCUGGAUAUGCAGGAGAAGCAAUAGAUCUACAAGGUAUGAAACGAGUUUAUACAAAAGAACUGACGGAAGCGUCCCUCACCGAUUUUAAUGCGCUUUGGAUAUGUUGUAGAACAUAAAAAAAUAUUAGACCCAUAUUUUUUUA
rnacentral:misc_RNA from 1 species